GCUCUUUUCUCCUUGGCCAGUGGGAAGCAAACUCAGGAGCUCUGGCCUUAGGAGAUGGGAGGAAGACUAAAGCAGCAGUUCUCAAAGUGUGAUCCGGGAGACCCUGCAGAUCCCAAGAUCCUUUCUAGAGUUUCGGUGGGAGAACUAGUUUUAGAAUUAUAGACGUCAUUUGCCUUUUAAACUCACAAUGGAAUUUUCCAGAGGCGACCUGAUGUCUAAUGAUGACACUGCUCUUAUGACCAAAGGAAUGUGAGCUCGUAUAUUCUUUUAGAAUUUCCUAAGUGAAUCCAGGAAAAUAGAGGAUGCUUCAAAGAAGGAAACGCGAGAGUACCCUGCACCCAAACAGCCUCUGGCCUGAGGAACAAGGAACAGACCAAUGUUCUGGCCCUGGUGCAAGUGAAUGUUUGGCAUAGUCUGCUGGCAACAACAGAAGUUAUUACCUGAAAACUCAUUCUGAAGGUGGAGGAUGUUGGGGGAGUGCUCUUGACAGUUCCAGUCUCCUCAACCUCUUCCUCUUCGUAAGCCUUUCUCCUCUGCUUUGCAUCCCUGUCCCCAAUCACAAGAAUAGGACUGAUAAGUAGAGCUCUGCAAUAUGGGUUAUGAACACCUGCAGUUUAAGACAAGUAAACAAUUGAUGGCAGCAGUGGCCUGUCUGGAGCGGCUACUGUGAAGAUGCCAGCUGUAGUGUGGGAGGCACGGUGGGGGCUGCGUGCUCCGUGGAGCUGGCCGGAGCCCCACCCUCUUCUGAGUUGGCCGGGUGGGAGC
rnacentral:lncRNA from 10 species